AGUGAACGCUGGCGGCGUGCCUAAUACAUGCAAGUCGAACGGAGUGGCGCACGGGUGAGUAAUGUAUAGCUAAUCUGCCCUACACUAGAGGACAACAGCUGGAAACGACUGCUAAUACUCUAUAGUGUAGGAUGAGGCUAUAUUGUAUCAGCUAGUUGGUGAGGUAAUGGCGCACCAAGGCUAUGACGCAUAACUGGUCUGAGUGGAUGAUCAGUAACAUCGUAACGGAGGCACGGUCCGGGAUCCUACGGGAAUCAGCAGUAGGGGAUAUUGCCCAAUGGGGGAAAACCAGAAGCAGCAACGGCGCGUGGAGGAUGACAGUUAUCGGAGCAUAAACUCCUUUUGUUAGGGAAGCGGUACCUAACGAAUAAGCACCGGCUAACUCCGUGCCAGCAGCCGCGGUAAUUC
rnacentral:rRNA from 1 species